AACGAACGCUGGCGGCAUGCCUAACACAUGCAAGUCGAACGAGACCUUCGGGUCUAGUGGCGCACGGGUGCGUAACGCGUGGGAACCUGCCCUUAGGUUCGGAAUAACUCCCCGAAAGGGGUGCUAAUACCGGAUAAUGUCUUCGGACCAAAGAUUUAUCGCCUUUGGAUGGGCCCGCGUUGGAUUAGCUAGUUGGUAGGGUAAAAGCCUACCAAGGCGACGAUCCAUAGCUGGUCUGAGAGGAUGCUCAGCCACACUGGGACUGAGACACGGCCCAGACUCCUGCGGGAGGCAGCAGUGGGGACUAUUGGACAAUGGGCGAAAGCCUGAUCCAGCAAUGCCGCGUGAGUGAUGAAGGCCUUAGGGUUGUAAAGCUCUUUUACCCGGGAUGAUAAUGCCAGUACCGGGAGAAUAAGCUCCGGCUAACUCCGU
rnacentral:rRNA from 1 species